GGACCCGCACAAGUAGUGGAGCAUGUGGUUUAAUUCGAAGAUACGCGAGGAACCUUACCAGGGCUUAAAUGUAAGUUGCAUUAGUUAGAGAUAGCUAUUUCUUCGGACUACUUACAAGGUGCUGCAUGGUUGUCGUCAGCUCGUGCCGUGAGGUGUCAGGUUAAGUCCUAUAACGAGCGCAACCCCUGUUGUUAGUUGCCAUCGAGUCAUGUCGGGAACUCUAACAAGACUGCCGGUGCAAACCGUGAGGAAGGUGGGGAUGACGUCAAAUCAUCACGGCCCUUACGUCCUGGCUACACACGUGCUACAAUGGCCGGUACAGAGAGCAGCCACUACGCGAGUAGGCGCGAA
rnacentral:rRNA from 1 species